rfam:Canis lupus familiaris chromosome 34, whole genome shotgun sequence.
GCCUGGGUGGCUCAGCGGUUGAGCAUCUACCUUCAGUUCAGAUCAUGACCCCAGGGUCCUGGGAUCGAGUCCCACUUCGGGCU